GACGAACGCUGGCGGCGUGCUUAACACAUGCAAGUCGAACGAAGUGGCGAACGGGUGAGUAACGCGUAAUCAACCUGCCCUUCAGAGGGGGACAACAGUUGGAACCGACUGCUAAUACCGCAUACUGAAGGAGGGGAAUGCGUCUGAUUAGCUAGUUGGGGGGGUAACGGCCCACCAAGGGGAUGCUCAGUAGCCGGUCUGAGAGGGUGAACGGCAACAGUGGGAAUGAGACACGGGCCAGACUUCUACGGGGGGCAGCAGUGGGGAAUCUUCCGGAAUGGACGGAAGUCUGAAGGAGCAACGCCGCGGGAGGGAUGACGGCCUUCGGGUUGUAAAGCUCUGUUAAUCGGGACGCGGUACCUGAAUAGAAAGCCACGGCUAACUACGUGCCAGCAGCCGCGGUAAUAC
rnacentral:rRNA from 1 species